rnacentral:rRNA from 1 species
GGUUAAGCGACUAAGCGUACACGGUGGAUGCCCUGGCAGUCAGAGGCGAUGAAGGACGUGCUAAUCUGCGAUAAGCGUCGGUAAGGUGAUAUGAACCGUUAUAACCGGCGAUUUCCGAAUGGGGAAACCCAGUGUGAUUCGUCACACUAUCAUUAACUGAAUCCAUAGGUUAAUGAGGCGAACCGGGGGAACUGAAACAUCUAAGUACCCCGAGGAAAAGAAAUCAACCGAGAUUCCCCCAGUAGCGGCGAGCGAACGGGGAGGAGCCCAGAGCCUGAAUCAGUGUGUGUGUUAGUGGAAGCGUCUGGAAAGGCGCGCGAUACAGGGUGACAGCCCCGUACACAAAAAUGCACAUACUGUGAGCUCGAUGAGUAGGGCGGGACACGUGGUAUCCUGUCUGAAUAUGGGGGGACCAUCCUCCAAGGCUAAAUACUCCUGACUGACCGAUAGUGAACCAGUACCGUGAGGGAAAGGCGAAAAGAACCCCGGCGAGGGGAGUGAAAAAGAACCUGAAACCGUGUACGUACAAGCAGUGGGAGCCUCUUAAUGGGGUGACUGCGUACCUUUUGUAUAAUGGGUCAGCGACUUAUAUUCUGUAGCAAGGUUAACCGAAUAGGGGAGCCGAAGGGAAACCGAGUCUUAACUGGGCGUUAAGUUGCAGGGUAUAGACCCGAAACCCGGUGAUCUAGCCAUGGGCAGGUUGAAGGUUGGGUAACACUAACUGGAGGACCGAACCGACUAAUGUUGAAAAAUUAGCGGAUGACUUGUGGCUGGGGGUGAAAGGCCAAUCAAACCGGGAGAUAGCUGGUUCUCCCCGAAAGCUAUUUAGGUAGCGCCUCGUGAAUUCAUCUCCGGGGGUAGAGCACUGUUUCGGCAAGGGGGUCAUCCCGACUUACCAACCCGAUGCAAACUGCGAAUACCGGAGAAUGUUAUCACGGGAGACACACGGCGGGUGCUAACGUCCGUCGUGAAGAGGGAAACAACCCAGACCGCCAGCUAAGGUCCCAAAGUCAUGGUUAAGUGGGAAACGAUGUGGGAAGGCCCAGACAGCCAGGAUGUUGGCUUAGAAGCAGCCAUCAUUUAAAGAAAGCGUAAUAGCUCACUGGUCGAGUCGGCCUGCGCGGAAGAUGUAACGGGGCUAAACCAUGCACCGAAGCUGCGGCAGCGACACUGUGUGUUGUUGGGUAGGGGAGCGUUCUGUAAGCCUGUGAAGGUGUGCUGUGAGGCAUGCUGGAGGUAUCAGAAGUGCGAAUGCUGACAUAAGUAACGAUAAAGCGGGUGAAAAGCCCGCUCGCCGGAAGACCAAGGGUUCCUGUCCAACGUUAAUCGGGGCAGGGUGAGUCGACCCCUAAGGCGAGGCCGAAAGGCGUAGUCGAUGGGAAACAGGUUAAUAUUCCUGUACUUGGUGUUACUGCGAAGGGGGGACGGAGAAGGCUAUGUUGGCCGGGCGACGGUUGUCCCGGUUUAAGCGUGUAGGCUGGUUUUCCAGGCAAAUCCGGAAAACUAAGGCUGAGGCGUGAUGACGAGGCACUACGGUGCUGAAGCAACAAAUGCCCUGCUUCCAGGAAAAGCCUCUAAGCAUCAGGUAACAUCAAAUCGUACCCCAAACCGACACAGGUGGUCAGGUAGAGAAUACCAAGGCGCUUGAGAGAACUCGGGUGAAGGAACUAGGCAAAAUGGUGCCGUAACUUCGGGAGAAGGCACGCUGAUAUGUAGGUGAAGCGACUUGCUCGUGGAGCUGAAAUCAGUCGAAGAUACCAGCUGGCUGCAACUGUUUAUUAAAAACACAGCACUGUGCAAACACGAAAGUGGACGUAUACGGUGUGACGCCUGCCCGGUGCCGGAAGGUUAAUUGAUGGGGUUAGCGGUAACGCGAAGCUCCUGAUCGAAGCCCCGGUAAACGGCGGCCGUAACUAUAACGGUCCUAAGGUAGCGAAAUUCCUUGUCGGGUAAGUUCCGACCUGCACGAAUGGCGUAAUGAUGGCCAGGCUGUCUCCACCCGAGACUCAGUGAAAUUGAACUCGCUGUGAAGAUGCAGUGUACCCGCGGCAAGACGGAAAGACCCCGUGAACCUUUACUAUAGCUUGACACUGAACAUUGAGCCUUGAUGUGUAGGAUAGGUGGGAGGCUUUGAAGUGUGGACGCCAGUCUGCAUGGAGCCGGCCUUGAAAUACCACCCUUUAAUGUUUGAUGUUCUAACGUUGGCCCCUGAUCGGGGUUGCGGACAGUGUCUGGUGGGUAGUUUGACUGGGGCGGUCUCCUCCUAAAGAGUAACGGAGGAGCACGAAGGUUGGCUAAUCCUGGUCGGACAUCAGGAGGUUAGUGCAAUGGCAUAAGCCAGCUUGACUGCGAGCGUGACGGCGCGAGCAGGUGCGAAAGCAGGUCAUAGUGAUCCGGUGGUUCUGAAUGGAAGGGCCAUCGCUCAACGGAUAAAAGGUACUCCGGGGAUAACAGGCUGAUACCGCCCAAGAGUUCAUAUCGACGGCGGUGUUUGGCACCUCGAUGUCGGCUCAUCACAUCCUGGGGCUGAAGUAGGUCCCAAGGGUAUGGCUGUUCGCCAUUUAAAGUGGUACGCGAGCUGGGUUUAGAACGUCGUGAGACAGUUCGGUCCCUAUCUGCCGUGGGCGCUGGAGAACUGAGGGGGGCUGCUCCUAGUACGAGAGGACCGGAGUGGACGCAUCACUGGUGUUCGGGUUGUCAUGCCAAUGGCACUGCCCGGUAGCUAAAUGCGGAAGAGAUAAGUGCUGAAAGCAUCUAAGCACGAAACUUGCCCCGAGAUGAGUUCUCCCUGACUCUUUAAGGGUCCUGAAGGAACGUUGAAGACGACGACGUUGAUAGGCCGGGUGUGUAAGCGCAGCGAUGCGUUGAGCUAACCGGUACUAAUGAACCGUGAGGCUUAACCUU